rnacentral:lncRNA from 1 species
UCCCAUCAAAGGAUUUGUUGUUCUUCCGAUAUGAGUGAUUCAACGGAAGGAACCUACGAUGAUCCAUGUAUACCAUCUUCUUGCUAUUGUUCAAUCACCUAGCUUUGGUGCCAUCCAAACAAACCACACAUCCAUUAUACCCUUUUAUAGCCAGACCAGCUAAGCUACCCAAGUCAGGUAGGUCCAUGAUUGUUACAAAUGCUCUUAGCUUGAAGUAUUCCCGCUUGUACUAAUCCCACACCUUGACACCAUCUUUCCACAAUGUCAUUAGAUCACCUAUCAAUGGCUCCAAAUAGACGUUGAUAUCAUUGCCAAAUUGUCGUGGGCCUUGGAUCAUUAACAACAUCAUAAUGUACGUCCACUUCAUACAAAGCCAAGGAAGAAGGUUGUAUAUGCAAAGAGUGACAGGCCAUGUACUGUGAUUGCUGCUGACCAUGUUUAAAGGAUUCAUCCCAUCCGUACUCAAACCAAACUUUAUGUUCCUUAUCUCCUUCUUAAUUGUUUUCUUGAAUUUCC